rnacentral:rRNA from 1 species
UACGUAGGGUGCAAGCGUUGUCCGGAAUUAUUGGGCGUAAAGAGCUCGUAGGCGGUUUGUCGCGUCUGCUGUGAAAACCCGAGGCUCAACCUCGGGCCUGCAGUGGGUACGGGCAGACUAGAGUGCGGUAGGGGAGAUUGGAAUUCCUGGUGUAGCGGUGGAAUGCGCAGAUAUCAGGAGGAACACCGUUGGCGAAGGCAGAUCUCUGGGCCGUAACUGACGCUGAGGAGCGAAAGCGUGGGGAGCGAACAGG